rnacentral:rRNA from 1 species
GACGAACGCUGGCGGCGUGCUUAACACAUGCAAGUCGAACGGUAAGGCCCUUCGGGGUACACGAGUGGCGAACGGGUGAGUAACACGUGGGUGAUCUGCCCUGCACUUCGGGAUAAGACUGGGAAACUGGGUCUAAUACCGGAUAGGACUCCUGGCUUCAUGGUUGGGGGGGGAAAGCUUUUGCGGUGUGGGAUGGGCCCGCGGCCUAUCAGCUUGUUGGUGGGGUAAUGGCCUACCAAGGCGACGACGGGUAGCCGGCCUGAGAGGGUGACCGGUCACACUGGGACUGAGGUACGGCCCAGACUCCUACGGGAGGCAGCAGUGGGGAAUAUUGCACAAUGGGCGCAAGCCUGAUGCAGCGACGCCGCGUGAGGGAUGACGGCCUUCGGGUUGUAAACCUCUUUCAGCUAUGACGAAGCGCAAGUGACGGUAGUAGCAGAAGAAGGACCGGCCAACUACGUGCCAGCCGCCGCAGUAA